GGAGAUCCAGCACCAAAAAUCUGUUGUGAUGAGUCAAGCUGCACAUCUGGAAAUUAAGGACAACACCAUCCAGGAGUUACAGGACAAAACAAAAUGGAGGAAACUAAAAUGCUUGUCCAAGCAUUUGCUGAAGGAAUGGAUGCAGACUGGAUUAAUGACCAAGAAGGACAAGCAGGUCCAUCUGACAGUGCACAUGGUCACUCACCAUGAGGCCACCUGAUCAGAUGCCAGCACCUUGCUGAUGAACCACUUCCCAGAUCAAAAUGUACAAAUACUGUUGUGUAUAAGCUGUUUCUUAAUUGUUGGUAAUAUAUUAUUUCUUGGACAUGUUAAUUACUGUUAUUAAUGUGUUAUAUUGUUUUUUUGGGCUACAUUUUUUAUAUAUAUAUUUAAAAUGCUCUUAUUUGUAUUUCCUUUGAGUUCUAUUUAAAAUUGGUAAUAAAUGUCUGCUUUC